AAGUCGUAACAAGGUUUCCGUAGGUGAACCUGUGGAAGAAUCAUUACCUAGAGUUUGUGGGCUUUGCCUGCUACCUCUUACCUAUGUCUUUUGAGUACUUACGUUUCCUUAGUAGGUUUGCCCGCCGACUGGACAAAAUUAAACCCUUUGCAGUUGCAAUCAGCGUCUGAAAAACAUAAUAGUUACAACUUUUAACAACGGAUCUCUUGGUUCUG
rnacentral:misc_RNA from 1 species